GAAAUUAAGUUUCGUGAGAAACUUGGUACAUAAAAGGUUCUUUUCAAUUUUAAAACAAAACCACUACUUAAAGUUAAAAUGCAUGUUUCAAUUGCUUCCACACGUGAGCCCAUCUUAUUUCCUGAUAAGAUGCUUUGCUCACUUCCCACUGGCUUCCUUAGGUUUUGCAUACCCUGCAAAGAGUUUGCAAUAUGGAUUGUUGAUCCAGAGUCAAUCCACCAGGUG
rnacentral:lncRNA from 1 species